UGGGGAAUCUUGCGCCAAUGCGGGAAACCGUGACGCAGCGACGCCGCGUGGGGGAAGAGGGCCUUCGGGUUGUAAACCUCUUUCAGGAGGGACGAAGCCACUCGGGUUAAUAGCCCAGAGGGUGACGGUACCUCCAGAAGAAGCCCCGGCUAACUACGUGCCAGCAGCCGCGGUAAUACGUAGGGGGCUAGCGUUGUCCGGAUUUAUUGGGCGUAAAGAGCGUGUAGGCGGCCUGGUAGGUCUGCUGUGAAAACUCGAGGCUCAACCUCGAGAUGUCGGCGGAAACCAUCAGGCUAGAGUCCGGAAGAGGAGAGUGGAAUUCCUGGUGUAGCGGUGAAAUGCGCAGAUAUCAGGAAGAACACCUAUGGCGGAGGCAGCUCUCUGGGACGGUACUGACGCUGAGACGCGAAAGCGUGGGGAGCGAACA
rnacentral:rRNA from 1 species